AAGAAAAAAACAAAGUCCAUAAAAAUAAAGAGUUGGCUAAAGGAAAAGAAAUGUCCUCUGAAACAGCCAUCUUCUAAAUGUCUUCUAAGGUGCUUUUGUUUUGUUUUGUUUUGUUUUUCAGGAGGACCAACAGUGGAGCUGGACUCCAGGCUGCGAAUAGAUUCACAGAACAAGAGGAAAACAACAAAAAAACCCCAAACAAAUAGGAAAAAAAAAAAUCUUUGUGCCCCAUCCAGUGAUUCACAAACUGCUGUGCGGCGCCUCCAGCUCCAUUUGGACUGCUGACUUCUUCCAAAUCCUGAAAGUCAAGUGAGAGCCACUUUGAAUAUUGACAUUUGGAUGGGGUGUUGUGGUGAGGGUGGGAGAGGAAGCCCCAAGAAAUAGAUCACAAGCCCUGGAUGAAACUAUGUUGCAUGAUCAUUUACUGAGUAUCCACUAUCUGGCAGACCCCGUUAUAGGGUCUUCUCAUAUAUAUCUCCAGUCCUUACCAUGACCCUCAGAGCAAGUGUCAUUAUUCUGGUUUCACUGCUAAGAUACUCAAUGCCUACAGAGGUCAGCAACUUUCACAAGGGCAUACAGCUGCGAAGUGAAAGAUGUGGGAUACGACCCUGAAUCGCUUUGGCUUUAAGGCUUGCCCCUUUCAGGGAACUGCACAACUUCCCUGUGGAAAUGGAAGAGUCUGGAGGCCCUGAUGAGGGGCAACAUUUGAAGAAUGCAGAUUCUCCUUGUGAAUAAGUGAUAAAAGUGAAGAUAAGAACUUUGGAACCAUAAACCUUAGAAAACUUAUCAAAGAAGCCCUCCCGUUCACUAUCGCGGCACUAGAUAGGUUUAUCCCCAAAUCUCUUGUAGUGGGUAUCUAUCGUUUCUGCCACUAGCAUCUAUUUCCUGGAGUUCUGGAAAAACAUGCAGAAUUCCUGUG
rnacentral:lncRNA from 1 species